rnacentral:rRNA from 1 species
GUCUAAGGCCAUACCACCCUGAAAGCGCCCGAUCUUGUCUGAUCUUGGAAGAAGAAAGGAAUGUUUGAUGCAAAAUUUUAGACA